AAAAAUUCAAAAAGAAAUAGAUAAUAACUUAAGUGCGGAAGCGAAAUAAAAUGUUAAGGUUUACAUUCUUUAUACAAUAACUUAAAAGUACUAAACAACAUUACGAAAUUCACUCUUUGAAAGAAACAUAAAAAAUAAGAAAACAAUGAAAAAUAGAAAAUAUCUAGCAUCUACUCGCAAUCUUCUUGCUAAUCAGGCUCUGGAACCUAAUCUUCUUGAUCUGAAAUGAUUAAAUAAAGGAUGAGCUACACUAUUCUAGUAAGGAUAUCACACUAUAUCACCAACAUAGAAGUAAAUUUUGGUAUAAAAUCGAAAACCACUAAUGCAGCAUUAAAUUUAGCAUAUUCAUUUAUCAAUCAUAAAAUCAUUUCUUGUUCACUUAUUAUAGUGAAAUUUAUGAAAACAACCUGUAAAAACAAUAAUACCGUACAGACCAAUAUAUCAUGCAUAAUCAGCUAUUAUAGUACAUAUUAUAAAUUCAUAUCCAUUAUCAAUAAUCCUAACAAUAACUACCACUCUUUUCACGAGCUUACUGGUAUUUAUGGGGGUUUAUAGGGAUACCUUCGUUACACGUGAACCCUUUCAGUUAUCAUUCUCAAUUAUGAGCCAUCCUCAUACCCCGUACGGUAUGAGCACCAAUUUACCAAACCUCAAUACCCCGUCCGGUAUGAGGGUAAAGUGGGUCAUCCUCAUACCCCGUCCGGUAUGAGACAACGUUCACGGUAGGGUUUUCUAUGUACCCAAUUCAUCUACUAUCUCAUAGGAUAUCCAGUAAGACAGUCGUUUCAUCUAAUAAUUUAAUCACAUAAUUCUUUUACCAUUAAAACUUCAUUUUUUUCGAUUCAGCAGUAAAUACGUAAAAUAAACCAUACAUGCAUUCAAAGCCAUAAAAUAAAUAAAUAAGAUACCAUCAUAUAGGUAAACUAUAAAAACAAUCAAUAACAACAGUAAAUAAUUUCUUGUUCCGGCUCCAUUAGCAAUCCGUAAUUAAUUAUGCAAAAAUCGCAUAAAAUAUCAUUUUAUUAUUUAUUUAAACUUCAGUCUCAUGAUAGAGAAUAGAGUGAGAGAUCCUUACUCGAUUUGACACCCGAAAAAUUAAACUGUUUACUACGCCUAAGGGCGAUCCCUGAGUUCUCUGAAUUUUUCUUUAUGAACUGAAACGCGCUAAUAGUACCUAUAAAUGUUCCAAAUAAAUCUAAAAUCAGUCUCAUGGCCCACUGGACAGGAGGUUUCCUCAUUAAUGCUAUCAAAACCCAUGACUGGAGGAGAUGGCCCUUCCAUUAAUAUUACACAAGAAAUAUAGACCAAUAUUAUACAAAUAUAUGCUAUAAUAUACCUCUAUACAUAUAGAACAAUAAUAUAAAAGAAAUAUCUUGUGGCCUUGAAAUUCUUAGGAAAGCAACAAUUUUAAUAGAAUGACACAAUAAAUAAGUUCUUCAAGAUGCAAGUUACACAUAGUGAAAGUUUAUAUUAAAAUAGUUUAAAAUACAAAUUAUGUCUUUCAAAU
rnacentral:lncRNA from 1 species